rnacentral:rRNA from 1 species
UGAAUACGAGGCACUAAGGUGCUGAAGUAGUGUAUGUCAUACUUCCAAGAAAAGCUUGCACUAUCGUAAGAUAAAAAUGCCUGUACCAUUACCGACACAGGUGGGUAGGUAGAGUAUACUAAGGGGCGCGAGAUAACUCUCUCUAAGGAACUCGGCAAAAUAACUCCGUAACUUCGGGAGAAGGAGUGCCUUAUUCUAUAAGGUUGCAAUAACAAGAUCCAAGCAACUGUUUAUCAAAAACACAGGUCUCCGCUAAGUCGUAAGACGAUGUAUGGGGGCUGACGCCUGCCCAGUGCCAGAAGGUUAAAGAAGUCGGUUAGCAAUUGCGAAGCUGGUAACUGAAGCCCUGGUGAACGGCGGCCGUAACUAUAACGGUCCUAAGGUAGCGAAAUUCCUUGUCGGGUAAGUUCCGACCCGCACGAAAGGCGUAAUGAUUUGGAUACUGUCUCGGAGAGGGACUCGGUGAAAUAGACUUGUCUGUGAAGAUGCGGACUACCUGCACCAGGACAGAAAGACCCUAUGAAGCUUUACUGUAACUUGAAAUUGAAAUUGGACUUUAUUCGCGCAGUAUAAGUGGGAGGCGUUGAUUAUAAUCUUGUGGGAUUAUUGGAGCCAUUAGUGAGAUACCACUCUUGUAAUGUUAGAUUUCUAACUUUGAAUCAUGAUCUGGUCAAAGAACAGUUUCAGGCGGGCAGUUUGACUGGGGCGGUCGCCUCCUAAAUGGUAACGGAGGCGUACAAAGGUUUCCUCUGAACGGGUAGAAAUCGUAUCUAGAGUGCAAAGGCAUAAGGAAGCUUGACUGUGAGACCUACAAGUCGAGCAGGGACGAAAGUCGGUCUUAGUGAUCUGACGGUACUGAGUGGAAAGGCCGUCACUCAACGGAUAAAAGUUACUCUAGGAUAACAGGCUGAUCUCCCCCAAGAGUUCACAUCGACGGGGAGGUUUGGCACCUCGAUGUCGGCUCAUCGCAUACUGGGGCGGUAGUACGUCCCAAGGGUUGGGCUGUUCGCCCAUGAAAGCGGUACGCGAGCUGGGUUCAGAACGUCGUGAGACAGUUCGGUCCAUAUCCGGUGUAGGCGUUAGAAUAUUGAGAGGAGCCUUCUUUAGUACGAGAGGACCGAGAAGGACAUACCUCUGGUGUACCAGUUAUCGUGCCAACGGUAAACGCUGGGUAGCUAUGUAUGGAGUGGAUAACCGCUGAAAGCAUCUAAGUGGGAAGCCCACCUCAAGAUAAG